rnacentral:ncRNA from 1 species
GGGAGCCGAAUGAGAUGAAAAUCUCAAGUAAGGUUCGGGAAGAGGUUCUUUGAACCAAAUGACAACCAUAACAGAGGUCAGCUCAAUAUGAAGGAAAUUAUGUGGAAGCUCUGUUAUUCUACUACAC